AAUGGGUCAGCGACUUAUAUUCUGUAGCAAGGUUAACCGUAUAGGGGAGCCGAAGGGAAACCGAGUCUUAACUGGGCGUUAAGUUGCAGGGUAUAGACCCGAAACCCGGUGAUCUAGCCAUGGGCAGGUUGAAGGUUGGGUAACACUAACUGGAGGACCGAACCGACUAAUGUUGAAAAAUUAGCGGAUGACCUGUGGCUGGGGGUGAAAGGCCAAUCAAACCGGGAGAUAGCUGGUUCUCCCCGAAAGCUAUUUAGGUAGCGCCUCGUGAACUCAUCUUCGGGGGUAGAGCACUGUUUCGGCUAGGGGGCCAUCCCGGCUUACCAACCCGAUGCAAACUACGAAUACCGAAGAAUGUUAUCACGGGAGACACACGGCGGGUGCUAACGUCCGUCGUGAAGAGGGAAACAACCCAGACCGCCAGCUAAGGUCCCAAAGUCAUGGUUAAGUGGGAAACGAUGUGGGAAGGCACAGACAGCCAGGAUGUUGGCUUAGAAGCAGCCAUCAUUUAAAGAAAGCGUAAUAGCUCACUGGUCGAGUCGGCCUGCGCGGAAGAUGUAACGGGGCUAAACCAUGCACCGAAGCUGCGGCAGCGACACUAUGUGUUGUUGGGUAGGGGAGCGUUCUGUAAGCCGUUGAAGGUGUGCUGUGAGGCAUGCUGGAGGUAUCAGAAGUGCGAAUGCUGACAUAAGUAACGAUAAAGCGGGUGAAAAGCCCGCUCGCCGGAAGACCAAGGGUUCCUGUCCAACGUUAAUCGGGGCAGGGUGAGUCGACCCCUAAGGCGAGGCCGAAAGGCGUAGUCGAUGGGAAACAGGUUAAUAUUCCUGUACUUGGUGUUACUGCGAAGGGGGGACGGAGAAGGCUAUGUCAGCCGGGCGACGGUUGUCCCGGUUUAAGCAUGUAGGCGGAGGUUCCAGGUAAAUCCGGUACCUUUUAACGCUGAGGUGUGAUGACGAGGCACUACGGUGCUGAAGUGAUAAAUGCCCUGCUUCCAGGAAAAGCCUCUAAGCAUCAGGUAACACGAAAUCGUACCCCAAACCGACACAGGUGGUCAGGUAGAGAAUACCAAGGCGCUUGAGAGAACUCGGGUGAAGGAACUAGGCAAAAUGGUGCCGUAACU
rnacentral:rRNA from 2 species